rnacentral:misc_RNA from 1 species
GAAAGCUAGUGCUGAUAGAAAAAUUCUACCUGACAUGCAUGCUGAGGUGGAGGCUCUGAGACAGGAGCAUCAAAAAUUGCGUGCUGCCUUUGAGUAUGAAAAAGGGUUAAACAUGGACCAAGUGGAGCGGAUGCAGGCGAUGGAUAAGAACCUAAUCUCUCUGGCAAAGGAAGUCGAGAAGCUACAAGCAGAUGUGGCAAAUGUCGAGAAGAAAGCAAGCGCGUCAAGGUCGUACGCCACCAGCACGUUUG